rnacentral:rRNA from 1 species
UACGUAGGGGGCUAGCGUUAUCCGGAAUUACUGGGCGUAAAGGGUGCGUAGGUGGUUUCUUAAGUCAGAGGUGAAAGGCUACGGCUCAACCGUAGUAAGCCUUUGAAACUGGGAAACUUGAGUGCAGGAGAGGAGAGUGGAAUUCCUAGUGUAGCGGUGAAAUGCGUAGAUAUUAGGAGGAACACCAGUUGUGAAGGCGGCUCUCUGGACUGUAACUGACGCUGAGGCACGAAAGCGUGGGGAGCAAACAGGAUUAGAUACCCGGGUAGUCCCUGAGCGGGCU